GGGCGUAAGGGCUCGCAGGCGGUUUCUUAAGUCUGAUGUGAAAGCCCCCGGCUCAACCGGGGAGGGUCAUUGGAAACUGGGGAACUUGAGUGCAGAAGAGGAGAGUGGAAUUCCACGUGUAGCGGUGAAAUGCGUAGAGAUGUGGAGGAACACCAGUGGCGAAGGCGACUCUCUGGUCUGUAACUGACGCUGAGGAGCGAAAGCGUGGGGAGCGAACAGGAUUAGAUACCCUGGUAGUCCACGCCGUAAACGAUGAGUGCUAAGUGUUAGGGGGUUUCCGCCCCUUAGUGCUGCAGCUAACGCAUUAAGCACUCCGCCUGGGGAGUACGGUCGCAAGACUGAAACUCAAAGGAAUUGACGGGGGCCCGCACAAGCGGUGGAGCAUGUGGUUUAAUUCGAAGCAACGCGAAGAACCUUACCAGGUCUUGACAUCCUCUGACAAUCCUAGAGAUAGGACGUCCCCUUCGG
rnacentral:rRNA from 2 species